GGCUGGUCUGAGUGCAAUAGUGUUUAUAACUAAUUGGUCCCAACCAGUUACAGAUUUUCUUGUUCCUGCUCCACUCCCACUGCUUCACUUGACCAGCCUUAA
ensembl:misc_RNA Y_RNA Y RNA